UUUGAGAUAAUAUAUCAAGAAUAGAGCUUAAAUGCCACUCCUGCAUAAUAUAUAUGCACACUUGAAGGUAAGUUUUCUCAUUCACUUUUUAUUUAUUUAUUUUGCGUGUUUGAUCAUUUUGGCUUAUUAAUAUGUUGUCUUAGUUUAGUUACUUAUCGAUUUUCUUUAAGUUUUAUAAAGUUGUUUCUAUAUAGCUUCUUCAACCUUUGGAGUUGUUUGUAGAUCAAACUUUGCAUCCAUAUUACUUUGUUGAUUAUAUCAAAGUGUUUUCUAUUUAUAUAUGGAGUUCCUUAAAUAUUCCACAACAAAACUCAAAAUCUCACAAAGAUGCAACAACAAAACUCAUAUCCUCUUAUCAAGAGAAUGAUGUGAAGCAAAUAGGAUAUAUAUUAUGAAUAUAAUAUUUAUGUACUGUCAGUGUAAGGAUUUAUAUACAGUCAUUCAACAUCCUUAUGAUUAAAUAUGAAUAGGAGUGAUAGUAUAUGAAAUUUAUACAUUAUAUGUAUUUUUUUGUUCAUAUAUUAUAUGGAAAAAAUGAAUAAAGUCUGUCAAAGCUUUAUAUCUUUUGUAAUUAGUUUUCUUCGUAAUUACCCCUUAACCUUUAUAUAAAUAAAUUGAUUUAUAUAUAAAUUUGAUUCAUAUAUAAAUAUAUUGUUUAAUUAUUAAAGGUCAACAAGAAAAUCAUUGCAAUCACACUUACUACAAUUAUAACAAUGCAAAUUGUAGAUUACUUAACAUUGCUGUCUAGAAGAAAUCACUAUUAAAAUAUAAAUUUGAUUGGAAAACAAUUUUGAUACUGAAAAGUGAUUAAUGGAGAAUAUAUAUAAUAAAAUAAUAAUAAUUUAACAAAAUUGAAGUGAUUAAGUGAGUUUUAAAAAAUUGAUGACAAAAUUUUCUAUUACUAUUAAUUUAACAUUAUUUUUAUUUCCGAACUAAUUUCAACAUCAAUUGAAGUUUAAGACAUAAUUAAAAAAGUAGUUCAUAAUUAGUACUUACAAAAAGCAUAACAUUCAAGAUAUUUGCAUAUAUUUUUCAUAUAAUAUAUAAAGAUGAGCAAUAUUAUUAAUUACCUAAUAAAUGUAUAAUAACUUAAUAUAUGUAUAAUCACUUAAAAAACCAUGUUCCAUAUUCAAUGCUCAGUGCGAUUAUAUAUACGUAAUGAUAACAAAAACGUAUACACUAAUAUCAUAAGAGUUUUUAUUAUAUCAUUCAUCAUUUAUAUUUAAUUAUAAUAGAUUCUUAAUUAUAAGUAAUAUAACUGAAUGAUGAAUGAGUUAUUAUGUACCAUAGUGUAUGGAAUGCACAUGAUUUAUUUAAAUUUCAUUUAUUGAUAACUGUUUAUUUAUUAUAAGUUUAUUAUGUUAUUUAUGUAUGUAAUAAAAUGGUAUAAUUAUGGCAUGGUACAUUAUUUACUGUUAAGUUGAUUAUGUAAACAAAUUAGAAGGAAUGAAACAGAUUGGAUUGUGAAAUUUUCUAUCCUUUCCAUUCUAUUUUUUAAAAUUAUAAUAUAAGUGAAUUUUUCAAAAAAAUGGUACUUAUUUGGAGUUUGUUAUGAAAUGACAUGUAUCUUUCAGAUGAUUAAUAUAAAUUACAGAUUUUACCAUCACAAAUGUAUAAAAUAAAAUAUAUAUGCCAUGUAAAAUAUGUACCGAUAUAUAAAAAUAUGUCAUCUCUGCAAUUUUAAUUACACACUUGAAAGUAAUAUAUUUUUUAAGUUUAAUUAGUUGAAGCCCUUACAUAUGGAAUUUGAUGUUAUUCAUUCAAUCUCGCAUUGUUUAUAGGCUCUUUCAUCAUGGUAGAAAUUAUGUGAGAUUAAUUUAGGGGUGACAAAAUUAUUUAGAAUCCACAAUUCGUCUAUAUCCAAUAGAGUUAAAUUCAUCAAUUAAAGUUAAUGGAUUUAAAUGAAUAUAAUACAAUAUAUAUAACUUUAGUUAUACAUGGAUUUGUAUCUAUCCAUUAUAUCUAGUGAAUAUCUAUGGAUAUUUCUAUUUGGAUGCAUAUUCAAUUCAUCCUACAUACAAACAUUUAAAAAAAACUCAUUACUUUUCAAUUUUAUUCAUUAUCUCAACUAUAUCUCUCACUUUAGCCUACAAUUGAACAAGGAAAUAUUUUCCUAAAGUUCAAAUCUAAAAUAUAUUGAAAGUUAUUACUCUUAAAAUGUUAAAUAAUUGUGUUGUAAAAGAUUUUUCUAUAGUUGUAUGUUAGGAAGCUAGAUAUUCUAAGAGAGAAAAUUAUGUCUAAGGCAAGAUUAAAUUACUGAAUAAACUUCUUCAUAUAUUUUCUGAUAGUCCAGUACAGCUUAUACAAGAAACAACAAAUAAGGUAAAGGAAUCUCAGCCUUACAUGUGGUUGGAUCUUACAAAAAGGGAUAAAACUAGUUGUAAUAGAAAUAUUAGAAUCUACUCAUCAUUAGUCCAUAACAAAGUCCAUUUUUCAAGUAUGGACAUUUUGUUUCUGUUUGGGCCUCUUAUCAUGGGUUCUAACAUUGCCCAUGUCUUCCAAAAAAACUUUGUCCUCAAGGUUUGGAACAGUCGUGGGAGUUUGAGCAUGGCCCAAAUGGUAAUUAGGGGACUACAUUUGAGUUUGACCCUCUAGGCGGGAAAAUGAGUUGGACUUCUCAGGUUUCCCUUUGGGAUGCACACAUGUCACUGACGUGUUGGCAUCCAACGGUGCUAUUAUUUCUUUCCCACGUGAUUUUGCAGUGUGGUACAACUCUUGGGAAUUUGAAAGUACUUUGUGGCAGACAUUGGAGGGUUGAGAUGUGCCAUGGUCCAAAAAUAUCUAAUGAUCCAAAGGUUCAAUUAGUGUAGCAGACUGAGCUUUAAUUAUUUCACUGCUCGAGGAAGGGAUUUCAAACAGUGUGUAUUAUGCACCGUUAGAUAGAGAGGUUUGCCCUUCUUUGGAUCCAAGGGCUCCUAAUGUAACAGAUCUUUUAUUGUUGGCCCCACUUGAGAAGAUGAAAUAUUAGGUGGUGAGUGAAAAGAAACAUCAUUAGUCACAUGGUUCUCUCCAUUCUCUUUUACACAACAUGUUUUGUUCCACAAGGGAACUCUUCACUUUUGCACUCAUUUCAUUUCCCUAGUUGCUUCCCAUUUCUUUUGCAAACCCAUUUUGUUCUUCAAUAAAACUUUUCUUUGGUGCACCAUUUCCAUCUCCUAUUUUUGUUUUAGAGCCUGAGGACUCUAUCUUGUCCUCCUCUAGACCCAAAGUUGUCUUAUUGUUUCUUCCAUCUUCUUCUUCUAAGGAAAUGCAUGUAUCAAUGGGAAGAGGCAUCAUUUAUGAUGUGGGUUCCCCAUAAAACUUAUGAAGUAAAGAAACAUGGAAGAUGGGGUGGAUCCGUGAAGUCGGUGGCAGUGAGAGUUAAUAAACGACCGAACCGAUUUGUCGGAGCACUUGGUAUGCUCCAAAAAAUAUAGGGGACACCUUAUGGCAUAAUCGGCAAGCUAUUGUGGCCUGUCGAUAUGGUUAUAGUUUGAGGAGUACACAUUCUCUGGUGUUGAAGGUGAUAUCCUUUCUCCUUGUUUGAUUUUGUGCUAACAUCCUUUGUUGGGCCCUAAUGAGAUUUUGUUUUAGUGUUGUUAACAACACUGACCGUGUGUGCAAGAUAUCCUGAACCAGUGUGGACAUUCAGUUGUUGUCUAGGAAGUUGGCCAAUGUUGGAGGUGGACGACAUAAAGAGCUUCGAAGGGUGAGAACCCAAUGGACGAGUGCCUUGAUGUAUUAUACCAAUACUCUGCUAAUGAGAUAUAUCGAAACCACUUCAUUGGCUGCAAACCAAUGAAACAUCGACGGUAUGUCUGGAGGCACCUAUUCACGACCUCGGUCUGCCCAUGGAACUAUGGAUGAUAGGCGGAACUGAAAUAGAGAGUCGUUCACAACAACCGAAAAAAUUCUCUCCAUAAAGAGCUCACAAAAAUUCGUUCCCGGUUAGACACUAUGGAUUGGGGAACCCUAUGCAGGCGGAACACCUCGGACAGAAACCGAUGAGCCAAAUAUUCAGUGAUGAACUUUGUGGGUAAGUCGAUGAAGUGUGAAUAUUUUGAAAGACGAUCAACGAUCACCUAUAUCUCUGUGUGCCCUUGGGAUGCAAGUAAGUGUGUAAUAAAAUUCAUUGAAAAAUCUUCCCACAUUUUUUCUGGUAUUUUAAGAGGUUGUAGCAACCCAUUCUGUUUUGAUGAUAAGUACUUGCUAUGUUGACAAGUAAUACAAUGUCUGAUGAAGAGCUUGGUGUCCCUGUACAAGCCCAGCUAGUAGCAAGAGGCGACAACUCUAGCAAUCGUUGGUUUCUGACCGGAAUGACUAGAUUAGGGGGCCGGAUGAUACUCUAUAAGGACGUGCCUUCGAAGAUCUGGUAAGUCAAGUAUGAAUAUGUUGUUGUCAUAAAAUAGUAUCCCAUACGAAAAAUGGAAUUUUUGUUGCAUUCGUGAAUCUGACUCACAUUUUUUUAAAAAUUGUAUCCCUGUCGAGGUCUUGUAAUGGUGGCGAAGCUAGUCCAAUAGAGCUGGAAUUGGGGAAGAUAGUGAUAUCAAAACUGGGUCUUAUCUCAUAUUGAAAUCCAAUAAGUUUUGUACCCCAUUUUUGUUGUUAUGGGGUGUGAAACCCUUGUGUCAUCAAAUGUUUCAAGCUUUGUUGGUCUGUAAGUAGACGUGUCAAAACCGGCUACCCAGACGGGUUCGGGCUAAACUGUGUCGAGCUAAAAAACUCGGAUAUAAUUUAUACAUAUCAAAUUGUAGUCCAAACUCGCCUUAAGUAGGUUGUGGGUUGUGGCGGGCCGGCCCGCAUACCUAAAAAUAUUUUUUAAAAUUUUUUUAACAUAUUUAAUCUAUUUAAUAUAUAUAUAUAUAUAUAUAUAUAUCAUUGGAUAUUAAUGUAUAACUUUUUUAACACAUUUGUUAUUGCAAAUGCAACCAAACUUGUAGAUAUGUUUGAGUCAAUAUGUGAUAUUAAGUCCACGUGUAUGAUUUUUAACAUAACUCUUUUUAUUAAAUCUUUCAUUUCUAUUGGACUCUUACUCUCUCACACAAUAUACUUUGUAACUUCACUUUAAUAUAUAAACCUUUGGAUACUGUAAAAAAUAUUAUCUUUUGUAUGUUCUUUAUCCACACUUUCAUUGUGAACUAUUAUAUUACAUUUGAUUGUGUGAAGUUCUCUAUAGUAAACAAUUAUGUUGAUUUUAGUUUUGUUGUAAAUGUUAUUUUCUUUAUUAUGUUUUUGUUGUAAAAGUUAAAUCUAAUUAAAUACACAAUAACACAAUAUUUAUUAUCUAUUUUUUAUUAUAAGUUGUUUUGUAAAUUUUCAAUUAGUGCUUAUUACCAAGCCAAAGGUCCAAAAAAAGUUAAAACAAAUAAGUAAAAUGGGUAGUCCGAACCCGCCCGGGUAAGCCCAGCCUGAGCCCGAAUUUAAAAUAGCCCGGAUUCUAUAAAAAGUACUUAAUAUGAUACCUGGCCUGACCGAGUCUGCCCUUUUUUACAGCUACAUUUGUAAUUAUAAUGAAUUUUCGCUGCAUUAACUAUUGACGCCAUUUUUUUACUGCCUUUGUCACAGCAAACAUGUCACGGACAUAGGCAGAGGCAUGUUGCAUGCGGGGAACCAUCUUCUUACUAAAGAAAGCAAUUGGGUGCCCAGACUUUGAAAGAACAGCUCCAAUUGCAGAAGCGUCAGUUUCAACCUCAAAAGUAGCUAAGAAGUCUGGUAGAUGUAGGAUAGAUGUUUCAAUCAUUUUAUGUUUUGAUGUUGUAAAGGCCAACUGAGCCUGAUGUGUCCAUGUAAAUUGUUUAUGUUUGAGCAAGUUGGUGAGGGGAGCGGCGAGAGUGGUGUACUGCUUAACAAAUUUUCUGUAAAAACUAGUGAGCCCUAAAAACCCCUAAGAGUCGUGUGCGAACGAGGUUGUGGCCAAUGCACCAUAGCUUGAAUCUUUUCCGAAUCUGGUUGGACUCCCGCCAUAGAUAUGAUAUGCCCAAAAUAAGCAACUGAAUCGACUCCAAACUGAC
rnacentral:lncRNA from 1 species